UACGUAGGGUGCGAGCGUUAAUCGGAAUUACUGGGCGUAAAGCGUGCGCAGGCGGUUUUGUAAGCCAGAUGUGAAAUCCCCGGGCUUAACCUGGGAAUGGCAUUUGGGACUGCAAGGCUUGAGUGCGGCAGAGGAGACUGGAAUUCCUGGUGUAGCGGUGAAAUGCGCAGAUAUCAGGAGGAACACCAAUGGCGAAGGCAGCUCGCUGGGACGGUACUGACGCUGAGACGCGAAAGCGUGGGGAGCAAACAGG
rnacentral:rRNA from 1 species